GACGGAGGAUGCAAGUGUUAUCCGGAAUCACUGGGCGUAAAGCGUCUGUAGGUGGUUUAAUAAGUCAACUGUUAAAUCUUGAGGCUCAACCUCAAAAUCGCAGUCGAAACUAUUAGGCUAGAGUAUAGUAGGGGUAAAGGGAAUUUCCGGUGGAGCGGUGAAAUGCGUAGAGAUCGGAAAGAACACCAACGGCGAAAGCACUCUGCUGGGCCGACACUGACACUGAGAGACGAAAGCUAGGGGGAGCGAAUGGG
rnacentral:rRNA from 1 species